GGACCGUAGUUCAAUGGUAAGAGCAUCUGCUUUGCAUGUAGCAGGUCCCAGGUUCAAUCCCCAACAUCUCCA